UUUACACCCUCACCCCUCCCACUUUGUUGGGUUGCUUGGCAACUUUGCCAGCAUAGGUGGUGGAUCUGGCUUCCCCAAUCUGCCGUCUGGUAGAUUGGGUUGGCUGAAGAGUAGAGGUUUAAGCAAGGACCCGUUAUGGGCUUCAACUGGAUAGGUAGCACCGGCUUGUGCCGACUACACGAAGUUGAUGCUCGUGGAUCUUGCUAGAGGCCAAGCAGGAACGUGCCCAUGGCACGUCUAAACUUUCGACCUGAGCUCAGGCAAGGCUACCCGCUGAACUUAAGCAUAUCAAUAAGCGGAGGAA
rnacentral:rRNA from 1 species